AACGAACGCUGGCGGCAGGCCUAACACAUGCAAGUCGAGCGCCCCGCAAGGGGAGCGGCGGACGGGUGAGUAACGCGUGGGAACGUGCCCUCUUCUACGGAAUAGCCUCGGGAAACUGGGAGUAAUACCGUAUACGCCCUUAGGGGGAAAGAUUUAUCGGAGGAGGAUCGGCCCGCGUUGGAUUAGGUAGUUGGUGGGGUAAUGGCCUACCAAGCCGACGAUCCAUAGCUGGUUUGAGAGGAUGAUCAGCCACACUGGGACUGAGACACGGCCCAGACUCCUACGGGAGGCAGCAGUGGGGAAUCUUAGACAAUGGGCGCAAGCCUGAUCUAGCCAUGCCGCGUGAGCGAUGAAGGCCUUAGGGUUGUAAAGCUCUUUCAGCUGGAAGAUAAUGACGGUACCAGCAGAAGAAGCCCCGGCUAACUCCGUG
rnacentral:rRNA from 1 species